AACACAUGAUUAUAAGCAUAUUCAAAAAGUAUUAUAAUAGGUAAUAAAAAAAAAGUGGUAAAGUAUAUGAAAAGUUAAAAUAAUGGGCGGGCUUCGAAUUAAUAAGCAACAAACUCUUGCUCAGCUAUUUGACCCUAACCCUUUCUUUCUUUUAUAAUUCCUUCUGCCUCUCACAGUAACAGCCGCCUCCAAACCCCUCCAUUUUUUGAAACUCUGAAGCUCUCACAAGAUCACAAGUCCCAUUCGGCAGCCACCGUCCUAUCUCUCACUCCCCCCUUCUCUCUCUCUCUCUUUGUCUCUCACUACACAUAGGGACACGGUAACUAAAAUGUCCUACUUUCUCUUGAGUAUUGAAAUACUUUUUUAUUUUUGAUUUCUUGAAGGAUGAUAAACAUAAAGCAGAAAUUUCUUCCUCUUCCUCAAAUAUAGUUCUCAUUUUACUAUAUUAUUGAUUAUUAAUUUAUGGUUUAGGGCUCUGAAGCUUGAAGAUGAUAUAUACAGCCAUAGAGACAUUCUACAUCAAAGGUAAUCAACUCCAAAAUUCUCCAUCCAGAAAAGAUAAAAUUGAUGAACCCACCCAAACCACGUUUUGAAUUUGUGGCUGCAAUUUAGUUCAAGAAAGUGGAAUUUUGCAGCGAUUGUAUGCUAUUAUUCUCUUUAAUUUUUUUUCUUUUUUAAUGUUAUGAAUUCAAUUUUUUUCACUGCUAUUAUAAUUUUUUCAGACCCCAUGUUGUAAUGGCGACCACCCAAGUUUGUUCCAUCAUUUUUAUUACAAUAAGUUUUUUCCUCGCUUCAGUGUCAAGAAUUAUGAACCAAGAUAACCAGCACCUCCAAAAUUUCUCCUCUAAUUGAAGCAGCAGUGACCAUUAGAGUGUUCCUAUACAAACUGGGCAAACACCACCCCUUUUGCAGUAUUUUGGUACUCUCUUGACCAGAGGAAAGCUUAAUGCUUUCGAGUCAUUGGAACUAUCACGUCUUGUUGUGAACCAGAACAAGAAUAAUUUGUUGGAAAAUUGGCUAGCAAAAGACAAAUUAGAAUGCAACGAGGAGCUAGGAGAUCUUGUGAAGGUUAGCAUUAUGGAAUUUGUUAAUUACACAGUCCUGUGUUUCUUUUCUCUUGGCAAUAAUUUAGUUGUUUACUUCAAAUAAUGCCUGUGUCAUGUUGUUUAUGGUAUAUCUUAGUUUCUUUUUAAUUAUUUAAUUAUUUAGGUUUCUUCCUCCAGUAAUGGAUGUGAUAUUCUAACUAGUCUAGUAUUGGUUAUCUGAAAAUCUCAUCUUCUCAAGCUUCAGUUUUUUUUUUUAAUUCAUUUUGGUAUCUUAGUAGUGAUUUAAUUUCUUCUAUGUUUUUUGGUAUCUGAAAAGAAAGUGCAUAUGAAAAUGUUGCAUACCAGGUGUUUGAUAAUAAUUCUGAAAGAAUCUAAAUUAUCAUUUGGAUUUGGG